AACCAUAGAAACCUGCGGAGUACCUGCGGAAGGAUCAUAACUGGUUAAACUUUAUAAACACCAGAGUUUCAAACUCUGUGUUUGCAAACAAAAAACACCCUUCAAAACAGCUAUUCAGUGUCUGAAUUAACUAGUUUAAUAUAAAAACAACUUUCAGCAACGGAUCU
rnacentral:misc_RNA from 1 species